CCGCCGCGGCGCCGAGGGCGGCCCGCAGUCUUGGGCCCCGUGCCCCGCGCCCCGCGGGAGCCGGGCUCGGGAUCCAGGCUCCCAGGCCGAACGCGCGGGUCGAGCGAGCAAGUGCGGCGCAGAGACACGGGGCGCAACUGAAAUGAGCUUGACGAAGUUGUCGUUGAGCGCGAUGCCGGCCUUAGCAUCGAAGAUAGACGAAUGGGUAUCGCCAAUAAAGUCCGUGGACACGACCUGGGGGUCAGAAUUUCAAAGAUAAUAAGGGGAAACCGAGGCCGGAGGCCACUGAGCCAGUGAUGAGCAGGGAGGGGAUUCAAGACCCACAACCGUUAACCUGCCUGCUGCUGCGGCUUCCGGAACUUCCCGGACUCUGGAGCCCUGACCGAGCCCAAGCACGCCCACCCCUGCGGCACACUGGCCCCGUGCUGUUCUCCACCCUCCUCAGGAGUUACCCUAGCUGUUUCCUUUUGCCUGGAAGCCCUGCCAAUGCCUUUCCUUCGCUGCCUCUUGCGUUCCUUCAGGAGCCACCCUUUAAGAGAGGCCCUCUGGACUCCCCAUUUAAAAUUCUCUCCUCUCUCAGUCACUCUCUGCCAUCAUCCCCACUCCCUCCAUCUACCCAUCUUCCAGGAAGCCUCAUCUGACUUCCCAUCCUGGGUUAGAUGUUUCAAUGUGCAAAACUACUCUAGGGUUACACUCUAUAUUUUGAUUUUCCUCACAGCAUGUGUCUCUCUCUAAAAACCAUCUUGUUUAUUUGUUUUCUUGCCCAUUGCCUCUGCCCACCAGACUGUAAGCUCUGGGAGGACAGAGUGCUUGUCUGCCUUCAUCACUUUUAUAUCCUGUUGACUAGAAGAAUAUUUGGCACUUAAAAAGUUGUUUGCUCAGUAAAUACUACCAGAGUGAGUAAAUAAAUGUCACCUCCCGAGGUUUCUUCUCAUCUCUAGUCUUAGAGUAACCCUCAAGUCCUGUCUGAUAUCCCCCAGCACCCUGUUCUUUUCCUCAUGGCUUUUCAGGUAGUUUGCUGUGAUCUUGGUUUACUUGUUCAGUGCCUCCCUUUUGAGCUGUCUUUUCCGUUUAGUUCGCCAUUGGGCCUCCAGCCCCUUGAACUGUGUCUGACACCAAGCAGGCUUUCCAUGAACAUUUGGGGAAGAACAGAUGGGCAGAUGGCUCUCUUUCACCAAGGCACUGGGGUGGGGGCUUGCGUGCACACCUGUGACUCACAAGAAGUCACCUUCACUUGCAGCGCCAGUUGACACACAACUGUGACCAAGAUUUAGGGGGUGUGGGGGUUUGGGCCAAGAAGGAGUCAUCAUCCCAGAGAGAGGUGUGGAAGCAAGAAUGGGCAGAAUGACAACCUCUUCCUUCCCCAAACCUCCAUGGGCACUCAGUUUGCUAGGACCCUGCCACAGAUAAGCGUGAGGCCCUCCUGCUCGCAUGGCCCGGGAGAGGUGGAACAGAAAAGAGGUUGAGCGUAUAGAUGGGGAGAUUGGAAUGAACCAAGACCAAAAACCAGAUACUAAGUAAACAAAGAGGGACAAACCUAACAUGUAUAAUCAAGGUGUGGGGAAAGAGUGCGCAAAUAAAACCAGGACUGCAAAGGGACCAAUUUGGUACAACUUUACAAUCACUGGUAUGAAAAGAUAGAUGCAAUCAAAAUUUUUGUAGAAAAUCUGAAGCAUCAAAACUGGUGCAAAAAGAAAUGGCAAAUCUGAGUAGGCCAAUAACAAGAGAAGAAACAGAGAGUUAAGAUCUAUCCUUCCAAAGGCUGAUUCAGAUCUGGACGAUUUUAUGGGCAAGAUCUGCUGAAGAAUGGGGAACAAAUAUUUGCCAUCCUGUAGGAACUGUUGCAGAUCCUGACCAGAGCUGGGAAGCCCAGUGGCAGCUCCUGUGCAGAGUGACUCUGAGUCAGGCACUUGCUCUGAGGCCCUGCAAGGUGACAGGCACGCUGUGUGUACACAUGUGGCAUGCUUCUCAGGAGUGCUCUGGGGACCUGUGAUAGAUCAGCAGUGGAAACCGCCUUGACGUACUGAGGAAACCCGCACCGCCACGUGACCAAAACCAGCAGAGGAUGGCAAGGAAAGGACAACUCCAGAUUCAUCUCGUGUAUGGAGAUGGAUGCCAAAAUCCUGAAUCAAAUCACGGCAAAUGGGAGUGAAGCACUGAGGAGAGGGACCGAGGCUGACAGAGGAUGGUAGGACGGGGCAGAGAGAUGGGUGGGAGAGAGAAGCAGAGGACAUUUCCAGAGGAGAAACCCCACCUCUCAAUCUUGGUGCAGAUUAGAAUUCUGAAGCUCACCACUCACCCUUCUCCACCCAGCAACCUCCUGGCACAGGGAACUCCCUCAUUCAGGUGCUGGACAGGGGCACAAAAGCCACUGCUGAGGUUGCCCAGGGAUUUGGCUUUGUCGCUGGAGCAUGAAACUGGGAAACAAGCUUGGAGAGGUGGCACAAUUAGUCACCCUCUGCAGGCAGAGCCUAGAGAAGGCAAAAGGUCCUUGGUUCUCUGGGUCCGGGAUGCCUGAUUCUGGGUGGAACCAGGGUCUAGGGUGGAACCCUGGGUCCUCCAAGGGGAAUGGGCCUUGUCGCCCUUGUUUGAGCAAAGCCUGAAAACACGUGCAGAUUCCUGCCCCACCUGGGCACCCACAUACAUAACUCUGCCACCCCAUUCACUCACACCCUGCGCAUUCCUUCUACGUGGCCUUCCUACCAGCAGUCCCACCUCCACCCCACCUCCCAGUCUUUCCUCUUGGCACCAAAACCCCAGUAUCUUUCACCCCUGCACCCAACUGUACCCACACACUGGCCCUCAUCCUUCUGGUCUCAGCCUCCCUCCAAACUAGCUCUAGAUAGUUUGGCUGCAGCAGACCGCCCUCCCACCCUCUGCGCAUCCCUCUGCAGCCCCUCUCCACACUGAGGCCAAACCCUCAGCUGUUUCUCUCUUCAGCCCCUGCCAAUAUGUUAACCAGUUGGGGCUUCAGGUUGGGACUUAGGAGGCCUCAGUGGGGAGGAGGGCAGGAAGGAUGAGCUCCUGGCCCUCAGCCCAGGUUCUGGCUGACAGUCUCCUGCCACCCCGAGUCUUCGGCCCCUCCCCAUGGCUGCCUCAACCGGCUUUUCAGGAGACACUGCGUCCUGUCCCAGCUCAUGGCAGUCAGCCCCCUGCCCUUGCCCCAGGGCUGGGAGGCAGGAUGAGAAUGUGAUCCUGGCUCUAAAAUCUGCACCCUUCACCAUGGGACCCUAUGCUACUCUGGGGAUCCAGGUGACCUUCCCUCCAGCCCCCUUUAGACUCAGGCUCAGGCCUGAACUGUCUUCCCCUGGCUUCUAAUCUAUCUGUUUGUUCAUCCUAGAAAUAUUUCCUGAACCCCAGGCAAUAUUCUAGAAGCUGAGGAUAUAGCAGUGACCAACACAGACUAAGGCCCCAUCCUCUGAAAGUUUAUAAUCUGAUAGGUGAGACAGACAGUAAAAGAAGAUAAUUUGGGAUUGUGGUAAGAGCUAUUAAAACUGAAGGAUGGUAUUACAGAGUAUAUAUGGUGUAUGGCCAGGGAGGGAAGGGUUUUUGUUUCUGUUUCUGUUUCUGUUUCUGUUUCUGUUUUUGUUUUUGUUUUUGUUUUUGUUUUUGUUUUUGUUUUUGUUUUAGAAGGUGAUAUUUGAACCAAGAAGAAAAUGAGGGGGAACCCACCUUGUGAAGAUCUGCAUUCUACAUUCCAGGCAGAGAGAACAGCAAGUGAAAAGGCCAUGAGGCCAUGAAUGAGCUGGUCUCUUACUGCUGGGGAAGCUGAAUCCUGGGAGGCAUGAGGAUCCUGAAGAACCAGGCCUGGGCCCCAGGGACGAAGGGUGAUUGAAGGGCGGUCAUCCAGGCGGAUCCACAGGCCAGCACGGAGGGGUCGCAACCACGACCUUAACAUCUGGAGCUUCGGUCAACAAGCCCUUCAUCGACUUUCCAACUCUGUGGAAGAGCGUCACCAACAUCAUUCCCUAAACUG